AAAAACUUAAUAAUUACAACUUUCAACAACGGAUCUCUUGGUUCUGGCAUCGAUGAAGAACGCAGCGAAAUGCGAUAAGUAGUGUGAAUUGCAGAAUUCAGUGAAUCAUCGAAUCUUUGAACGCACAUUGCGCCCCUUGGUAUUCCAUGGGGCAUGCC
rnacentral:rRNA from 1 species